AUGAAUUUCAGUGGUGAGGACGUCAGUCUAAUGCCACUUAUCCUCCUUUUAUUUUUCCUCUUCUCACAGGUUUAUGACAGGCUGCAGAAGUACAGAGUCCAGCGGCCUGCUCCACUGUUGGAUAACAGACAGGGCCUGGCUCAGGACUUGACAGAAGAGCUGCGCAGUGUAGUCGCCAGCCCAGAGACAACAGAGUUGUUAUACCUGCUCUCCAAAUCUCAUGUAAAGGUGAGAAGAGAAUGUACAUUGAGGUCAAGAUUUAGUGACAAUCACAAGAAAGGCAGAGGAUCAACAUAAAAGACUGACUGAAAACAGAAGCAAAUAAAAGAAUUCCUGCGUUUAUGGUGGGCUGAUGUCAAUAUACAAAGUACAUGAAUAGUAUUUGGUGUAAAUUUCAUUCAAAUUAUAAGUAUUACUUAAGUUUUUAGAGUUCAGGAGUUUCACUUACGAGGGCUUUGACAGCUUUAUUUGUGAUUGGUCUAAUGCUGUGUUGCUUCUUGGAUCAUUUGUUUGGCUCUCCCAUUUUAUAAAACAACACUGG
ensembl:lncRNA